CGCUGGCGGCAGGCCUAACACAUGCAAGUCGAACGUGAAGCUAGACUUCGGUCUAGUGGAAAGUGGCGCACGGGUGAGUAACGCGUAGGAAUUUACCCAGCAGUACGGAAUAACCAUCGGAAACGGUGGCUAAUACCGAAUACGCCCUCCGGGGGAAAGAUUUAUCGCUGUUGGAUGAGCCUGCGUCGGAUUAGCUUGUUGGUGGGGUAAAAGCCUACCAAGCUACAAUCCGUAGCUGGUCUGAGAGGAUGAUCAGCCACACUGGGACUGAGACACGGCCCAGACUCCUCAAGGAGGCAGCAGUGGGGAAUAUUGGACAAUGGGCGAAAGCCUGAUCCAGCCAUGCCGCGUGAGUGAUGAAAGCCUUAAGGUUGUAAAGCUCUUUCACCGGGGAAGAUAAUGACGGUCCCGGAGAAGAAGCCCCGGCUAACUCGUGCCAGCAGCCGCGGUAAUACGGAGGGGUUAGCGUUGAAGCCGAUU
rnacentral:rRNA from 1 species